rnacentral:rRNA from 1 species
AGAACGAACGCUGGCGGCAGGCCUCAAACAUGCAAGUCUAGGGGGGUGUAGCAAUACAUCACCGGCGGACGGGUGCGUAACACGUGGGAAUAUACCUUUUGGUUCGGAACAACGCAGGGAAACUUGCGCUAAUACCGAAUGUGCCCUUACGGGGAAAGAUUUAUCGCCAAAGGAUUAGCCCGCGUAGGAUUAGCUAGUUGGUGAGGUAAUGGCUCACCAAGGCGACGACGGGUAGCC